rnacentral:rRNA from 1 species
UACAGGGGGGGCAAGCGUUGUUCGGAAUUACUGGGCGUAAAGGGCUCGUAGGUGGCCAACUAAGUCAGACGUGAAAUCCCUCAGCUUAACUGGGGAACUGCGUCUGAUACUGGAUGGCUUGAGUUUGGGAGAGGGAUGCGGAAUUCCAGGUGUAGCGGUGAAAUGCGUAGAUAUCUGGAGGAACACCGGUGGCGAAGGCGGCAUCCUGGACCGAAACUGACGCUGAGGAGCGAAAGCCAGGGGAGCAAACGGG